rnacentral:sRNA from 1 species
AUAUCUCUCUGUACGGGAAGGAUGAGAAGCUUCGACUAAGGUUCGAUUCGAGCGAAAGCGAGAAAGCGUUGCCGUAGGCAACGACCCGAAGGGCGAAGCGCGCAGCGCUGAGUCAUCCUUCCCCCACCACCA